GACGAACGCUGGCGGCGUGCCUAAUACAUGCAAGUAGAACGCUGAAGAGAGGAGCUUGCUCUUCUUGGAUGAGUUGCGAACGGGUGAGUAACGCGUAGGUAACCUGCCUUGUAGCGGGGGAUAACUAUUGGAAACGAUAGCUAAUACCGCAUAACAAUAGGUGACACAUGUCAUUUAUUUGAAAGGGGCAAUUGCUCCACUACAAGAUGGACCUGCGUUGUAUUAGCUAGUGGGUGAGGUAACGGCUCACCUAGGCGACGAUACAUAGCCGACCUGAGAGGGUGAUCGGCCACACUGGGACUGAGACACGGCCCAGACUCCUACGGGAGGCAGCAGUAGGGAAUCUUCGGCAAUGGGGGCAACCCUGACCGAGCAACGCCGCGUGAGUGAAGAAGGUUUUCGGAUCGUAAAGCUCUGUUGUAAGUCAAGAACGAGUGUGAGAGUGGAAAGUUCACACUGUGACGGUAGCUUACCAGAAAGGGACGGCUAACUACGUG
rnacentral:rRNA from 1 species